CCAGACAGGAUAGGUGAAAGCCCUGAUCUGGACAGACAGGAUAGGUGAAAGCCCUGAUCUGGACAGACAGGAUAGGUGAAAGCAAUUUGACGGAACCCUAAUAGAGGGCUUCCUUUUUCCAGUCCUGUAGAUUUGGAUCAGUGCGGCUGAAGGGAAGAGGUUGACCAGAGGAAGCCACAUUAGACCACUGAGAUGUACCCACAUAGGCUCCUGGUUCACACCAUUCCCCCAUCGGAUCCAAGGCACUAUGUGACCGACCCCAGGGAUCGUAAUAGUGCUAAAUGCUUGACAUGAGGUGAGCACCUAAUGGGUUAAAAACAGCGCAAACACCAGACGCAUUGACCACAAGUAGCAACACAACCUCUCAUCUGCAGGCCAAUGACAGUAUUAAUUGGUGCUUAUAGGCACUUUUGUCUAAAGACAGUGGAAAACACCUACUGCACAGACAUACAGCAAUUCACAUAUUUCAAAGUACUUUCAAUCAUUUUAGAUGACAAAGCCACAUUUUUAAAGCACAAAAAAACAGUAUUCACUUGACUCCAUGUUAACCCCACAGAACAAAGUUAUACACGCAGAAUCUGCAUUCAAACCAUUAACUUGUAUUUACUGAAUAACAAAUGUAUUAGCUAGUUGCUUUUGUUUGAAUUUACACUAACGAAAUACAAAGCAGUUGAAUCAUUGUAGAGCAGCAUAUGCCACAUAACCUAGAAGCCACUUGGAAAGAACCAUGAAUUUAGCCUGUCCAAAAUAUCUACCUAUCCCCUCACAUAAAAUGUAUUUGCAACAUUUCAAACUCCCUUAGCUGUACUACACAGAGAAAUAAGAUCAAGAUGUGCAACUACAAGGCCUACAAUAUGUUUAAACUUUUCCCUGUGCCAGCCCUCAUUUCUACUUUCAACACAACUGUAUCUUCUGUACUGUAACCCCCACACACUAGUGCCAAGCUAGUGUGAGAACUCUGGCAUUGGUGCCCCCUUCUGUAUGUGAUGGAGAAUAUAAAAUGGGGUCUCAGAAUGAGAACACAAGAUCAAACACCUAGGGCUCCUUUUGUGGAAAGAGGUUCAUUCUAAUCUUGGACUAAAAGGCAUCUGUGAUAGAGACUUCUCUGAAAGUGCUUUUUGGACCAGGAAUAGGCAUGAUCUGGGUCUGGGAAACCAGCAUAUCUACAACAGGUGUGUUACACUCAUUUUGCCACAAAGGGCCACAUUCUGUCUUCACUGAGGUCCACUUCUAUUGGUUAUAUUCCUUGCUGUCAAAAUUGGCAAAAAAUAGUUCUCUAUCCAUCAAAUUUUCUAUGCUCCCCGACUGUCUAGCUUUCAUUUCGAUGACUGUUAACAAGCUGGACAGAGUUUAGAGACUAUAAAUGAUGUCCACUAUAAUUUCUAGUUUCGAUUUGGUUUUAGGCAUGUCAUUUGAGAUCGGAAUAA